UUGCAUGACACUUUUUAUUUUGGCAACAUUUGGUUUCAUAAAAUAGUGACUCCGAGCUCUGAACCAAAGAAGCUGUGUCUGAGGUGUCUUAUGAUACCAAAUAAAU